CUUAUCCUCUUGAGACCUCAAUUUCCUGCCAAUGUAGAGUUAUGUGAGAUGACGCAGAGGAAGCAGACACACCAGUGUCCCCUACACACAGACACACAGAGCCUAUGACAGUGAGCCACAGAUCCCCAUCACUACUCAGAAGCACAGUGACUUCUCACCGUUGGGCUCAUAGUCUGAUCCCCUCCACCUGUCCAGCCUUGAGGCCAUAGCAUCCCUCAAGGGAUGGGGACUGUCUCGGAACAAGUGGAUUGGCUGAGCAAGGCCAGUCUGCAGUGGACUCUGCCACUGCCCCCCCACCCCAUGCUGAGGAGCCAGGAAUUUGUCAUCUGUGAUUUGAUAAAUCCCCCACUCAAGAUUUCAGAAUGAUGGUGCUAUUGUAAUCUGUCUCCUUGCCUGACUUGCAUAGCUUCGGCAGAUUGGGUGGGAACAGAACACCCAGAACUUAAGGACAGCAAAAAUCUCUCUAGAACCUUUGAGCCUUCAAAGGUCGCAGGAGAAGCCAGGAAGACCCCAGGGCAGACAUGAGCUGAGACCUCACAGAGAACGAAGUUGGCAAACAGGUGAGAAGGAAGGGAGGGGGCAAGGAAGAUGGAAGGGGAGGGGCUGCAGGUGUGAGGGCACCACCACAGAUCUUUGUAGGUGGAGGGGGAGAGGAUCAGUUCAAGGAAGUGCAUGUGAAGCUAGACUGUACUACAUGAAACCCUAUUUGAAAGAAAAAUUGGGGGUAAUGGUGUUGGAGAGAUAGCUCAGCUGCUAAAAGUGUGGUUGGUUAUUGCAGAGGGCCAGAGUUUGGUUCCCAGCCCAUGUCAGGAGGCUCAACAACCACUUGUAACCCCAGCUCCAGGGGACCUGACGCGCUCUUCUGACUAUCGCAGGCACCUCCAUUCACGCGCACAUUCCCACACAUACAUACUCAUACAUAUAAUAUACAUAUAUGUCUAGUACUUCUAGCAUUAUAGUAUAUACAUAUAUACACAUAGUUAAAAGUAAGUCUGAAAAUAAAGAAUCAGAGGGGAGAGGUAGAGGGCUAAAUAAAGGAAAGAGAUGUCAUCUUUUACUUAUGGACAGGAGAUCAGAGCUUCAGAGGACCCCAUUUUCCCUUGCUUCCCACUCUCUUCCCCCAGGGCUCCCUCUGGAAUCUGCAGUCUGCCUCUAACCUACUUGUGGGAUCAUAAGGCUGAACUAACUUUUGUCUCUUGAGAGCCUCUUAAGAAGCAAUGUGGGUUUGGGGUGUGACUCAGUUGGUAGAGCGUGUGUCUCAUAUGUACAAAGCCCUGGGUUCAAAUGGAAAAAAAGUGGCAUCCCUCUGGGACCUUCCCCAGAGUCCCCGUAAUCCCUGUUCAUCCAUGUCUCGUUACCCUUUCCUGCUCCCCCACUCCACCCCUUCCCUUGCUCUGUUCUUCAUACCCACUGACUGAGCAAGGAGGGCAUGCAGGCUUGGUGCCAGGCACAGGAGGAAAACGAACAUUUCUUAGAUACGGUACCCAAAACACCCUGAUGAGCUGGAUUUCAUCAAAGUCUAGAAGUUCAGCUCUGAAAAAUAUCUGAGGAAAAAUGAGAAGACCAGUGCAGUCCGGUCUUAGAGAAGACACUUCUAAAGGAUAAUUUUUUCUAGGUGUGAUAGCCAGACCUCUAAUCUCGGCACUUGGGAGGAAGAGGUAGGCAGAGUGCUGUGAGUUUGAGGCCAGCCAGGGAGAGAGAGACAGAGACAGAGACAGAGACAGAUAGGCACACACACACACACACACACACGGGGGGGGGGGGGGAACACAAUUCUGACAAAGUGCUAUAGUGCUAUGAUCAAGAACAAACAAGUCUGGAGAGAUGGCUCAGAAGUUAAGAGCACUUGCUCUUAUGAGUUCAGAGGACCAGAGUUCAACUCCUAGCCUCCAUGUCAAGUGGAUCAUAACCAUCUGUAUUUUUAGCUCUGGGGAAUCCAAUGUCCAUUCUGCCCUCCUUGGGCACCCAUAUGCUGUACCUGGCAUAUAGAGAUACACAUAAACAUAGUUAAAUAAAAUAAAUCUUAAAAAGGAAUAAAGAAGUCUUAUGUACGAUCCUAAUUUUUAAAAACCCACUAAAAUGAUAAAAUGUAUUGACCCCCCAAAAAAAAGUAAAAAAAAGGGAAAAUAUCUGAAUGGCUGGAGAUGUGGAUCAGUCAGUAGAAUGUCUGCCUACUGUGCAUGAAGUUCUGGGGCCCGUAAUCAGCUUUCUCACAGUGGUGCCUGUAAGCCCAGGACUAUCCAAAAGGGAAAAAAAGUGUUAAUGGAUCCUUCCAAGGACCCUUCCAAGGAACAGAGCAGGUAUACACAGACGGCGUCCACUCAACACCGUUCGUCACUAGGGUGAUGUGAACGAAGCUGACGUGCACCUGAGGUGUCAGAGUUAAGCAUGCUGUGUGGCGGCUGGAGCUGUCAUACAGUCCUAGUGGGAAUGUGAAUCAGUACACGUCUGGAAACCGUGUGUGGUGGGCACGUGUGCUGAGGUGUUUGUGUAGAGGUUGGAGCUGGCUUUUCUCCUCUCACCUAGCUGGUUCUAGGGAUGGACUUAAGUUGUCAGCCUUGGCGGCAGGCGCCUGCUGAGCCACCUCACUUGAGUCAGGCCCUUUUUAUGGAGCCUUGGCUGGCCUGGAAUUUGCUAUGGAGCUUAUACUGGCCUUAAACUUACAUCAGAGCUCUUGCCUUAGCCUCUCGAGUAACCUCCAGUAUGUCUCCAGGCUGUACUUAAUUUUUGAGUCAGAGUUUUGAUAUUGUAGUCUGGUCUAGCCUUAGGUUCCCUAUGUAGCUCAGGCUGGUCUCAAACUCUCAGUCCUCUGUUGGGAUUACAGUUGUUGGCCACCAAGCCUGACAAGAGUUUUCUAUUUUAUUUUAUUUUAUUUUAUUUUAUUUUAUUUUAUUUUAUUUUAUUUUAUUUUUUAAGGGUUUUCUUUGUUUUAUUUUGUUUGUUUUUGUAGCAGCCAGUGAUGGUCACCACAUGAUAUUUUAGUCAACAAGGAAUCUGUUAGUUCUUCAGGGGGGGUUAUGGCUUAGUGAUUAUGAUUGUGUUGGUUUGUGUAAACACAUUUUUUGAUGUUCAGACAAUGAUGAAAUUGCCUAAUGCUGCCUUUUUCAGAAUGUAUUUGUGUCCUGGAGUGAUACAAAUUUGCAGUGUACCCGUGCAGUGUAUGCUAAAGGAUAAUAAGGGAUUAUUUAUCAAAUAAUGUCAUCAAUAUAUGUCAUACAAAGGAUCUCAAAAGAACUCUCAUGAUUAAAAAAGAAAAAGAAGCACCAGGGAGUGGUGGUUCAUGCAUUUAAUCUCAGCACUCAGGAGGUAGAGAUGUGAGGGGAGUUUGGUGGGGGAGGGAUACAGAAGCAGAAUCUCUGAGAAUCUCUGAGUUUGGGGCCAACCUGGUCUACAGAGAAAAUUCUGGGAUAGCUAGGGCUACACAGAGAAAUCCUGUCUUUAUUUAAAAAAAAAAAAAAAAAAGGAAGAGGAGAAGCAGCACAUGUUGUUCUGUGAUUAUAUGUACAAAACUCUAGAACAUGUAAACAAAUCCACAGUGACAAAGAUGAAUUACUUGCCAUAGGGUAAGGCAGAAGGAAGAGGUUAGGAGAGAGGGUGAACAAAACCACAGGAGUGACGUCGGUCCCCGUGCGUGAGUUGAUCCCUACACUGGUUACAGUAAUGACUUGUCUCCAAGUGUGUCAUAGUUGGACUCUAAACACAGAGUUUAUUGUCCCAAAUGAUGCCUUGGUAAAACUUUGGAAAAACGCAUGUUUGGGAGGGAUGAUGGGAAGAGGGUGGUUGGUGGUACAGGUGUGGCUGUGAUCGAAGAAUAUAGUUGAUAGGACAGCUACAGUUACAGACUUCACUGAGUAUUUCAAAGGAGCUAGUGGGCCAGAGUCUUGAAUGUUUUCAACAGAAAAAAAAAAAUGAUGAAUGUCUGAGGUGCACCAUACGCCUCCUGCCAGCCUAAGAUCUGAUCUCAGUAGAUGUUGUUUAUAUGUACUGAAAUGCCACGCUGUACCUGAGGCUUCUGCACAGUUACUAUUUCUCAGAUACAAUAUAGCAAUAUGGCUGUCAAGAUGGUUAAGUAGGUAAAGGAGCUUGUCACCAAGCUGACCCAUGUGGCUGAAGAAUCGAGCCAUCUCCCAUUGGUUGUCUUCUCUUAGACCUUCACACACAUACCGUGGCACAGUCCUGGCCAUACGCCAGGAGUAUACCAUGUAUACAAAUCAAUUAAUCUAUAAUUUAAAAUGUAUAUACUAAUGGCCGGGGGUGACGACGCACACCUUUAUCUCCUCCCUGCACUCAGGAGGUAGAGGCAGGUGAAUCUCAGUAAGUUCGAAGCCAGCCUGGUCAACAAGGCAAGUUCCAGGCCAGCCUGGAGUGGUAAUGUACACAUGCACCGUAAGGAGAAGGCCUUUAAACAGGACCAACUCCAUUCUGUGAUAGGAAACUUGUAGAGACUAGUCUGGCACUUGUAAAGACAUGUCUGGUAGUUGUAAAGGCAAGUGUGGAA